CCUACGGGUGGCAGCAGUGGGGAAUAUCGCACAAUGGGCGCAAGCCUGAUGCAGCCAUGCCGCGUGUAUGAAGAAGGCCCUAGGGUUGUAAAGUACUUUCAGUCGGGAGGAAGGCGUUGAUGCUAAUAUCAUCAGCGAUUGACGUUACCGACAGAAGAAGCACCGGCUAACUCCGUGCCAGCAGCCGCGGUAAUACGAAGGGUGCAAGCGUUAAUCGGAAUUACUGGGCGUAAAGCGCACGCAGGCGGUUUGUUAAGUCAGAUGUGAAAUCCCCGGGCUCAACCUGGGAACUGCAUUUGAAACUGGCAAGCUAGAGUCUCGUAGAGGGGGGUAGAAUUCCAGGUGUAGCGGUGAAAUGCGUAGAGAUCUGGAGGAAUACCGGUGGCGAAGGCGGCCCCCUGGACAAAGACUGACGCUCAGGUGCGAAAGCGUGGGGAGCAAACAGGAUUAGAUACCCCUGUAGUC
rnacentral:rRNA from 1 species